GAUGAAGAACGUAGCGAAAUGCGAUAAGUAGUGUGAAUUGCAGAAUUCAGUGAAUCAUCGAAUCUUUGAACGCACAUUGCGCCCCUUGGUAUUCCAUGGGGCAUGCCUGUUCGAGCGUCAUUUGUACCUUCAAGCUCUGCUUGGUGUUGGGUGUUUGUCUCGCCUCUGCGCGUAGACUCGCCUCAAAACAAUUGGCAGCCGGCGUAUUGAUUUCGGAGCGCAGUACAUCUCGCGCUUUGCACUCAUAACGACGACGUCCAAAAGUACAUUUUUACACUCUUGACCUCGGAUCAGGUAGGGAUACCCGCUGAACUUAAGCAUAUCAAUAACGGAGGA
rnacentral:misc_RNA from 1 species